rfam:Myotis brandtii contig273240, whole genome shotgun sequence.
AGCUUUGCUCAGUGGCAGUAUCGUAGCCAAUGAGGUUUAUCCAAGGUGCGAUUAUUGCUAAUUGAAAAAAAAAUAAAGAUAGUAGCUUUCAAACUUGUUUUUUGAAGGUGGUCCACAAUAAGAAAUUUAAUAUCGUGAACAGUACAUAUGUAU